rnacentral:rRNA from 1 species
GACGAACGCUGGCGGCGUGCUUAACACAUGCAAGUCGAACGGUGACGCUCCAUCUUGCUGGACUGGAUCAGUGGCGAACGGGUGAGUAACACGUGAGCAACCUGCCCCAGACGCUGGAAUACGCGCUGGAAACGGCGUCUAAUACUGGAUACGAGAUCAAGCCGCAGGGUGAUGGUAUGGACACGGUUUAGGUAUGGGAUGGGCGCGCGGCCUAUCAGCUUGUUGGUGAGGUAAUGGCUCACCAAGGCGACGACGGGUAGCCGGCCUGAGGGGGCGACCGGCCACACUGGGACUGAGACAGGGCCCAGACUCCUACGGGAGGCAGCAGUGGGGAAUAUUGCACAAUGGGCGAAAGCCUGAUGCAGCGACGCCGCGUGAGGGAUGACGGCCUUCGGGUUGUAAACCUCUUUCAGCAGGGAAGAAGCGAAAGUGACGGUACCGGAAGAAGAAGCACCGGCUAACUACGUG